CAGUAGCCACGGGAAUGCGUAGGUGGCAAGCGUUGUCCGGAAUUAUUGGGCGUAAAGGGCUCGCAGGCGGUUUCUUAGGUCUGAUGUGAAAGCCCCCGGCUCAACCGGGGAGGGUCAUUGGAAACUGGGAAACUUGAGUGCAGAAGAGGAGAGUGGAAUUCCACGUGUGGCGGUGAAAUUCGUAGAGAUGUGGAGGAACACCAGUGGCGAGGGCGACUCUCUGGUCUGUAACUGACGCUGAGGAGCGAGAGCGUGGGGAGCGAACAGGAUUAGAUACCCCGGUAGUCCCUGUCUCUUAUAC
rnacentral:rRNA from 1 species